GAUGAACGCUGGCGGCGUGCCUAAUACAUGCAGGUCGAGCGAAUGGAUUAAGAGCUUGCUCUUAUGAAGUUAGCGGCGGACGGGUGAGUAACACGUGGGUAACCUGCCCAUAAGACUGGGAUAACUCCGGGAAACCGGGGCUAAUACCGGAUAACAUUUUGAACCGCAUGGUUCGAAAUUGAAAGGCGGCUUCGGCUGUCACUUAUGGAUGGACCCGCGUCGCAUUAGCUAGUUGGUGAGGUAACGGCUCACCAAGGCAACGAUGCGUAGCCGACCUGGGAGGGUGAUCGGCCACACUGGGACUGAGACACGGCCCAGACUCCUACGGGAGGCAGCAGUAGGGAAUCUUCCGCAAUGGACGAAAGUCUGACGGAGCAACGCCGCGUGAGUGAUGAAGGCUUUCGGGUCGUAAAACUCUGUUGUAGGGAAGAACAAGUGCUAGUUGAAUAAGCUGACACCUUGACGGUACCUAACCAGAAAGCCACGGCUAACUACGUGCCAGCCGCCGCAGUAA
rnacentral:rRNA from 1 species